AGUGUCUGAUGAAAAAGCGCGUGAAUCGCUGGCGGAUAUCCUUGAUGAAACUUUAAAAGCUGGCAUAAUUCCCACGGCACCUUAUCCAGUAGGGAACCAAGGAGUGUCUGGUGCUACACCCUUGCAGUUGCAGAGAGCGUUGGCAGUCCUCGGGAUCUCACCGGCAGAGAUAAAUCCAGAUGAUCCAGCCUGCCAGCACAUAUCUGCUACUUUGAAAGCUGCAAAAAUGCUUGGGGCCUCAUCACCGACAAAUGCAGCAGGUAAAUUUGUUGAUCCAGACAUUGUUAGUUGUUAUAGAGCACCAAAUUUAUUUCCAGGUCUCUGUAUGCAGUAUGCACAUUUCUGAUAGUUUUAUGUGAUUGCCAUGUUACAAUUGCAUUAAUCUGGUUGUAUGAAUGGCAGUGCUGCUUAAUUGCUGAUGUCUUUCAUCAUCUGGUUUGUAUAUAAAUUCAUCUUAUAAAUAAUUUGAUAGAUACAAAAAAAACCGAAUUCCUGCUUUUGUUUGCUCUUUCGCUUAUGUUAUGUGCUCCCAUAGUCUUCCGGACUGUAAUUUCAUCCAGGAACUGCAAAUAUUCAGACAACAAAUCAAAGUAAAUCAAGUUCAGACUCUUCUCUUUCAAAUUUACACAAUCCUCUUGCUCCUUCAGUUUUGGUACUUAAAAUGGAUGUUCAUUGUUUCUUUUUUCGGAUUUUUCACUGCUAGAGAACUUUACAUAUGAUUGAAGGCAUCUUUUAUACCGUGAUAAUAGCUAAUUCAGUCAUCUUACUAGCACUUAUUCGAGUGAAGCACGUUCUCACACCAAGAGAAAAGAUACGAGCGAUGAAGUGACUACGACAGUCGAGGAAGUGAAGCGGCAGUGGACCACAGCGGCAUUUGAUGAAGCAAGUCCGGUGGUGCCCAUGGUUGAAGCUGCGGCGAACGGGACCAAGUCGAACUAGUCAGGUCCAUAAACUGCCACCGCUGCUGCUGGAUCGUUUGGGCCGCUCAUCACGUCACCUGCUCGAGGCUUGCAUGUCUCGCAAAACUUCUACGUACAACACUGUUUCGUGAUCAUGCAACUAUAUAUAUGCUACUAGCAACUACUACUGCUUGUGUUAGGAUUACUAUCGAUUAUGUAUGCCAGUGACAUGUG